ACUCCUACGGGAGGCAGCAGUGGGAAAUUUUGCACAGUGGGCGAAACCCUGACAGAGCGACGCCGCGUGUGAGAAGAACGCUUUGGGCUUGUAAACCUCUGUCGAGGGAGAAGAUAGUGACGGCCCUUUUGGAAGAAGCCCCGGCUAACUACGUGCCAACAGCCGCGGUAACACGUAGGGGGCAAGCGUUGUCCAGAAUUAUUGGGCGUAAAGCGCUCGUAGGCGGAUCUUUAAAUCUGUGAGGAAAG
rnacentral:rRNA from 1 species